AAACCGCCCCCUAAGUAUUGACUAUUUUGCAGUUUUGGCCCCUCAAACCAAUUUUGACAAAGUCACAUGGACGCCACGUGUGCAUUGACUUGGUCAAAAUUGGUCUGAGGGGCCAAAACUGCAAAAAAAAUCAAUACUUAGGGGGCGGUUU
rfam:Medicago truncatula strain A17 chromosome 5, whole genome shotgun sequence.